GGCCAUUGUUAUAUUAUAGUUCGUUUCUGUGUGUGUUACAAUUUAACGUUGCGUCGUUUGUUUUCUCUUAUUUUUGAGUGUAAAUUGACAUUGCGAUAAGACGUGUCACGGUACUUGUCUAUCCCAAAUUCAUGUAUUUGGUUUUGAUGUUAUAUUUGUUAUUCUCGUGGGAUUUUGUCUGAUGCUUGGUCCGUUUCUGUGUGUGUUAGUUACAUUGUAGUGUUGUGUCGUUGUUCUCCUCUUAUAUUUAUGCGUUUCUGUCAGUUUUAGUUUGUUACCCCGAUUUUGUUUUUUGUCCAUGGAUUUAUGAGUUUGAACAGAGGUAUACUACUGUUGCCUUUUUUUUUUUG
rnacentral:lncRNA from 1 species